CAAUCUGCGAAAAAAUUUCAAAUUUACCAUCUAUUAAACCAUUGAAAGUUAUAAAUCAAAAAGAACAUGAUAUUGAGACAGAAGAAAUCGAAUUUCCAUCUCGCAAAACUGAAGAAAAAAAAA